AAAGGAAUAGACGGGGGCCCGCACAAGCAGCGGAGCAUGUGGUUUAAUUCGAAGCAACGCGAAGAACCUUACCAGGUCUUGACAUCCAUUAAAAGCUGCAGAGAUGCAGUGUGAGCAUGCUCGUAAUGAGACAGGUGGUGCAUGGUUGUCGUCAGCUCGUGUCGUGAGAUGUUGGGUUAAGUCCCGCAACGAGCGCAACCCUUGCCAAUCGUUACUAACAGGUAAUGCUGAGGACUCAAUUGGGACUGCCGUGGACAACACGGAGGAAGGUGGGGACGACGUCAAAUCAUCAUGCCCCUUAUGACCUGGGCUACACACGUGCUACAAUGGUCGCAACAAAGAGGAGCGAAGCCGCAAGGUGGAGCAGAUCUCAAAAAAGCGAUCUCAGUUCGGAUUGUGGGCUGCAACCCGCCCACAUGAAGUCGGAGUUGCUAGUAAUCGCGAAUCAGCAUGUCGCGGUGAAUACGUUCCCGGGCCUUGUACACACCGCCCGU
rnacentral:rRNA from 1 species